rnacentral:lncRNA from 1 species
GUAAUGGGAAAAGGUGUCAACUAUCUUUUCAAAGUGGUUGCAUCAGACAAUAUCCCACCAGCCAUACACAUGAGAGCGCAUAGAUCUAUAUCCUUGCCAGCAUUUGGCAUUGUAGGAUACUUUACUUUUAUAUUCAGGAAAAGACAGUGCACCUAAAAACAAGCAAGUAACAGCAAAAACAAAAACAUCUUGUCCUCCUUUCCUCUAAAUUCUGGGAAAGAUUUGGAGGACAGGAGGCAAUACUGGUUGAAACUAAUAGUGUUUCAAAAUUUUUCAGUUCUGGAAAGCCUCUCCCAGCAAUGGAGUGGGAACUGUGGGGGCGUGAGAAGGCAGGAAAGCUGCAGAUUUGUGCCAUGGGGACUUUCCACAGACGAUAAUAAGGAAUGGGAGGAAAGAGACUGCGUCUUUUGUUGCCUGUCUCCACAUGUGAUACAAGGCCUGAGGACAUGCUGCCUGCCCUGAGACCAUCAGUCCCGCCUUAUUCAUGGAAGUCGCUACACAAUUAGGUGAAGAGGAGGAACUGCGCUUCUCCAAGUCCUGGUGAACUCUGCAGUAGUGGGUGGAAGGAGGAAUUUAAUGAGCUUUAAAAGAAGACAAUAAGGAAGAUACAAAGACAUGGCCAUCUGGACUUAAGCUGUUUGUGAGAAUGUAAGCCUGGUCCCAGAAAACCCUUGGUUAAAC